UACGUAGGCAGCAAGCGUUGUUCGGAAUUACUGGGCGUAAAGAGUGUGUAGGCGGUGCUCCAAGUCUGGUGUGAAAUCUCCCGGCUCAACUGGGAGGGUGCGCUAGAAACUGGAAUGCUAGAGGAUGGGAGAGGUAAGCGGAAUUCCUGGUGUAGCGGUGAAAUGCGUAGAUAUCGAGAGGAAUACCUGUGGCGAAGGCGGCCAACUGGACGAGUACUGACACUGAGACACGAAAGCGUGGGGAGCAAACAGG
rnacentral:rRNA from 1 species